CUGCUAUUACGUAUAGAUUUAUCUCAACCUUCCCUUGGUGAGUGAACUUGAUAGCAUUGCUGCACAAAAUCAAUGUGUUUAGAACUUGGAGUGUAUGGUGCAUUUUGACCUGUGUUAGAAAUACCUGAUCAAGUUGCAAAUUGUAUCAGUAUUAGAGAUUAAACCUCCAAUGGGACAUCAUCUGCUACGUGUCCUUCCAAAAUCAACAUCUUUUUCAACGAUGCAGCUGCAGUUUGAAGAACAUGCUUGAUUACUUCUCUAGGCCUGAAUUUUGUAGCCUCCAGCUUCAUAACUCCUGAAAAUAAUCUUAACUUUUAAAUGCUACACAGUAUAAAAAUGGGGUUUGAACUUCAGUCUAUUAAAAAAUAUAUAUACCAAUUAUAAAGGGAUGAAAAAUAA